rnacentral:lncRNA from 1 species
AUGGAGCCAGCCACACUGGAGGAGAGCUCUGCCAGCACGGGGGAACACCUUGAGGUAGAGCCGCUCAGCCAAAGUGUCCCCGAGGCUGAUGAGGGCAGUGGGUCACAUCCCCAGGGGCCAGCAGCCCCCCCCAAGCCUGCUGAGAAGGUCUGCGUGGUGGUCGGCUCCGCUGGAGAGGUUGGUGCUGAGCUCUGCCCCUGUUCCCGGGGCCAGCAGCGUCUGCUGAGUGGAGCUGGAGAGGCUGAGACAGAAGCUGCCCGAGAUGGGGUGAGUUUUGGCACAUGGGUGCCGUGUCCCCCACCCUGGGUGAGAGCCCCUCCAGGCCGCUGCUGCAGGCAGGGGCUGUGCUGGCUCCCCCCGCUCCUGUGCAGCCACUGCCUUCCUCCCCCAACUCCUUUCUCUCUCCCACAGCUUCUCGGUGACCUUCAGCCACCCGAAAACUUGCAGGUCCUGCCAGUAGCUACCCCAGAUCCCGAUGCACAGCCCAGCAAGGCUUGUUCUGAUACCUGCACCACACCAGAGACCUCACCGGGGACCCAGCACCCUCCUGGGUCUGGUGAGACAGAGCCGGCCGCAGGCAGCCAGCAAGGGCUCCCAAAACGCCCCCCAGCCAGCACCGACCUCCGCUCCGCCGCCAUCCUCGCCAGGAAGGAGGAGAUCGAGCUGUUGUACCAGAAGUUCAGCCUGACCAUCGCGGUGGUGGCCACAAUGCUGCUGCAGAAGGAGCCCUCCAUGGAGGCGGCGCUGGGGCUGGCGCUGAGGGCCAACCUCCGCCAAGGCCGCAUCCGUCUCCUCCAGGAGCUGGAGGACUUCAUCAACAGCUACGACUCGGCCACCUUCAGGCCCUGAGGGGGGGCUGGGGCGAGUGGAUGGACACCCCCUCUCACCAGCUGGGGUUGGGAAGGUGAGGGGGGGGGCCCAUGAGAGCGCAUCAGGGUGCUUGUGAUGGUGCUGAGCCCUCGGUCAAGGUGGUGCAGACAUGUUGGUGCAGUCCCACCAUCUCUCUUGGAGGCGGGGGGUGCUUAGUUUUAGCCCUGCCCAGACCUGUAUGUGCAGUAAAAGGGGGGAGCUGGUUUUACUGGAGAGUGGUGGGAGGGGGAGCCCCAGAUCCUCACUCCCUCCAUUCCUGGCUCAUAGUAGGGAUGUUCCCCGAAACCCUGGUGGUCUUUCUUGGUUGUAAAUUUAAAAAUAAACCAGCUGUGAUCUUUGCA